CACUGACAAAAGUGUCAGGGUAGUUAUUAUCUAAAGUCAGUCAGAUACAGCUGCUGGUAGACCGAGCAUUAACACAAGAUUUCAGGACCAGACAGAUCAAUCUUUGCACAGCCUGGAUUGACUACAAGAAAGUCUACGAUGCAAUGCAUGGAUACUGGAAAGCUUGGCUCCUAUACAAGGUCAAGAAGAUACUAAAAGCCUUCAUCAAGAAAUAGGCAAGUUGAGAACAA